CGGUUAUACGACGUCAUUAGUGGCUUCCGCUUCCGGUAAGAACAGAAACGUUUAAACGAAGAUUGUAGAAAGAAACCAUGCACACAUUCCACACAGGGAUCCCUCACAGUGAAGCAUGAGGAUCAGAGUACAGCUGGACUGUAGAAGUCUCUUUCUCCUACCCAGUCAACAGAAAACACGUUCACACACAUCUAUGGAAAAGUUUUCCCAUACUUCUGUAAUCUGGAUGAAGACCUAAACCACCCUCUGAAGCUGCUACCAGAGUAUGUCUCUGUAGGUAAGUGGGAGCGUCCAUUCGACAGGCGUCACACCGUCAAUGGCGUUUCCACGUGAACGGGUCGUCGAGUGUGAAAGUUCCCAUGAUGUUCCGUGAAGUCUACAGAGCUGAGGAAGCUGUAUGAUGCUAACUGUUCCACCACAGUGCUGUGGCUAUCCUACUCCUCCUUCCUCCCCUGACCCCCUCCACCAGGCCUCCCCAGGCUGGCCUCCCUCCUGCUGCCCAAGGGAGAGGUUCAGCUCCUGGAGGGGUGUCUCUCUGCAGCCAGGAUGGACUUUUGGCUCCAACCUGAAUCCUGGGUACACUGGCCUCGACUCUCCUCAAAGGAGGGAGCAAGUGGGUGUAUGUUUGUUCGAGUGUGUGGGUGAAUGGGUGUCUCUGUUUGUGUGGGCAGGUGGAUGGAUUUGUGUAUGUGUUUCUGUGUGUGUAAAUGUGCACGUGAAUGCGUGGGUUUGAAUUGUGGGUGUGUGUUUGUUGGUGGGUGUAUAUUGAUUGAUGGUGUGCUGUGUUCAGGGACCUUUUCUACAGACCCACUCGUGUCACGAGGUGCGUGUUGUUUAGCAGAAUGAUGAAUUGUGCUGAGCUGAUCCCGAGUCAGCAAUAAUUACUUAUUUCUGCUUCAGUAAGCGUCAAGUCGCCUACCACAUGGGCUCAUGCAAUAACAAGACAGCUUUCUAAACACAAUCCAUUAACACAUUGAUUGGUAUUUUUACACAGCCAGUUAUAAAUCCGCUUCCCAAAGUUCCUCAUGAAGAAAUGCUGCAGUUUGUGAAGUCUACUGAAAGCGUUUGGGGUAUCAGCUGACUUCUCUGGGGUUUCUUUAAAGAAUUCCCUGAAACUCAUUCAGGUAGGAGGAUAACUGGAAAGCUUUGACGUGACAAUACAUAAAGAUUGUUAUAGUUGGAAAAAACUGCUUAUUUGCUAUUUAAUCAGGAUAAGGAAUUCUUACAACCAACAAAGUUCUGCUUAGUACAAGUGUAUCAGAAAGUAUUUGGGGCAGAGAUUAGACUUUCCCUCAGUUUGUAUUUGUAUUUAUUAUGCUGCCAAGGCAGCAGCUACUCUUCCUGGGGUCCAGCAAAAUUAAGGCAUUUAUACUAUUUCUGAAACAUUACAAUACAUUUACAGAUUUCACAACACACUGUGUGCCCUCAAGCCCCUACUCCACCACUACCACAUAUCUACAAUACAAAAUCCACGUGUACGUGUGUGUGUGUGUGUAUGCAUGUGUCUGUGCCUAUUUGUGUUGACCUCUUGCACCAAAUCUUCUCAGCACAUCUCUCUCCCCCCCUCUCUCUCUGGGCUCCAGAGGUGGAUGAGACUGAGUCAGAGGGGGAGGGGAGUUUGGACAUCGCCCUGGACUUCUAUGUCCCUUCCAGGAUUACUUUCGACAGGCCAUUUAUGCUUAUAGUGUAUGAUGAGCUCACAGGCCUCAUCCUGCUCAUAGGGACAAUCAUGGACCCGACAGAAAUAUAACAUCCUCAGUAUUUUGUGUCACUCAUACCAUUGUUUGUGUCCGUUUGGUGAUCAUAAGAUGAAGAAUUAUUUUCAGAUCAUGGAAAAUUGUCUUUUUGCUUUUGAAUAUGUACCCUGUGAUAUAAACUUGAGAAAUGUUGCAUCGGAAACUAUAUUUGUGGACUGUCUGUGCCUUUGAAAUGGAUACUUUGAAGCGUAUGUUUUGAUCAUUAAAAUCGGAUUUAGAAACCA